rnacentral:tRNA from 1 species
AAAAAUUUAGUUUAAAAUAAAACAUUAACUUGUCAAGUUAAAAAUAUAAUAAAAUAUAGUUUUUA